UUAAUCUCAUUAAAGUCUUGUUUCACACACAAUUUUGGAAAUUACUUUAAUUCACUUUCACAAAAAUUUCAUAUCAAGCGAUCAAAAGUUGCUUCACUGGCGGGUUUAUUUAGAUUAGUGGUUUAGUAAUUAAUUUAUCGAGGCGUGUGGAGCAGACAGUGGGCGCGUUAUAAAUAAAAAAUGAAACGGCACGGGAAUUGUAUAUACUGCUAAUGCUGCUGCCGUUGCACGGACGGCAGGAAAAACACCUCAGAGGUACGAGGGUACUGUUGUUCCGAUGAUGGAUACCACAACGGCAGGGCAGAUAUUACAUUACAUUCACAUUUUACAUGACACAAGGCACAUGACAUCUGACUUUUUCUCUUAUUUCGAUGAAAAUAUCGAUACAUAUUAUAACGGCUACAUAUCUAUCCUCUCUACAAUUUGAUACACACGCGCUUGGCAGAUAAUGCCGACCUAUUCCGACUGUAGGAGCAGCUGGGAUCCCGAUGACCUGCAGCAGCGGUUAAUUUUACCAAAAACCAAGUAUUGGAGUAAACCAACAGCCCACGUAUAAAACCCAACCGAUACAAAAAUACAAAAGAUGUAUAAACGAAAAACUGUAAAUAUAGCGAUUUAAAAAAAUGCGCGAUAUCGAUGAUUUAAAACGUACCAUCUAGAUAUUUCGUCUUUUUUCUCGACAUGUUAAAAAAGCUUUUCGUAUCUGCUAGUUUUGAGGAAGAACUUUCGAAUCUGUUAAACCAACUGUUGCUUACGAUUUUGUUGAUAUCCAAGUUUUCUUCAGA